AAUAGAUACCCUGGUAGUCCACGCCGUAAACGAUGGAUACUAGCUGUUUGGUUGUAAGACUGAGUGGCUAAGCGAAAGUGAUAAGUAUCCCACCUGGGGAGUACGGGCGCAAGCCUGAAACUCAAAGGAAUUGACGGGGGCCCGCACAAGCGGUGGAGCAUGUGGUUUAAUUCGAUGAUACGCGAGGAACCUUACCAGGGCUUAAAUGUAGUGGGACAGGCUUGGAAACAGGCCCUUCUUCGGACUCAUUACAAGGUGCUGCAUGGUUGUCGUCGGCUCGUGCCGUGAGGUGUCAGGUUAAGUCCUAUAACGAGCGCAACCCCUGUCGUUAGUUGCCAGCGAGUCAUGUCGGGAACUCUAACGAGACUGCCGGUGCAAACCGUGAGGAAGGUGGGGAUGACGUCAAAUCAUCACGGCCCUUACGUCCUGGGCUACACACGUGCUACAAUGGGCGCUACAGAGGGAUGCGAGACCGCGAGGUGGAGCCAAUCCCGACAAAAGCGCUCUCAGUUCGGAUUGCAGG
rnacentral:rRNA from 1 species